GCUUUUCCCUGUUUUUUUCAAGUGUUCUAUGAUGAUAAGCAUUUAUCAUUUCAUAUCUUCUACCAUUGAGAAAUAUAUUUGUGCAUCACAAUCUUCAUCAACUUAGACAUCUAAAACUCGUUCUUAUACUCGUUCUUCAUUAGGCGUCAUAGUUUCUAUAUUCUCGAACUAUCAACUAGCUAACCGAAGGUCCUUCUACAGAACUUGUAGUGAUGGAGGAAGCCUCAUCUAGAUAGCUUCGGUUAGACGUUUGGUUUGAAUGGUAAAGUUGACAAGAUCUUUAGAUCAACAUGUAUGGAAAAUGACAAAAUUGAUAGGUUUGAUUUGGUCAUCUACGUGGGGUUAUUAUCCAAUUGAGUGUUUGAAUUUUUUUCAACUACUCUCCACUUGUCUAUAAAUUGUCGUUUAAAAUAUAAUGUUUUGUGCGGCUCUUUAUAUAAAGCUCAUACGCCAUUGUUUUUGGUUUUCCCGAAAAGUCUCGUACCAAUGGAGACAGUGUCCAUUACUUAUAUACUUAUGAUCGGACCCUUAGUUAGCCCAUUAGGGAGAUUCCUAUGAAGCAUGGACAUGAAAUACAGAAAAUAUUGUGUAUUUUUUGAAAUCUAGGACAUAGAUAUCGAACGAAAAACAAUAUCUUCUAGGACAUAACUAAUAGAAUAUUCAUUUUUACACUAGAAAGAGCUUUAAAGUCAAUAGGUUUAAAUGCAUCAUUGAUGCGUUCUUUCUUGGUCGAAGCGUAAAGAUGUCUACAUUGUCUUCUGAUUCGGUGUCGUGUUGAAUGGUCUAGGAGUUUUAGCUGUUCAAGACAGAUUCAUUUCUGCUGUAGUUCUUCAUUUUAGCAUCAUAAACUUGCAUAUUUUUGAAUGUGAACUUUUUCAUUGAUAAAUUUGGAAGUCAGUGGAGGUUGGUUUCCGUGGUAGGAAAGGUGUUCCAAGAUGGUGGCUCGUAGAGUUGAAAAAUAUGUCCGUAGAUGGAAAGAAAUUGCUUCUUUGUUUCCCUUAAAAGCUAUCCUUUUGACUUAAAGCCAUAGAUGUUUCUCUAAGAACACUCAAUUUGAUUUCAACCAAAACCCAUAUAGAACGCCCAUUACAAUGCUCUACACAAGGUUGGUGGAUUGCAUUUUCAACUCACAUCUCCAUAUAGGAGGUGGUUUGCGAUAGUUUGUCAGUAGGGUCGACUUCGACGUUCAAGCUUUUCAACCAGAAUAGAGAGAGUUCGUAAUAUCGGGGUCGUGUUGGCGAGGCUGUGGAGCUGCCAUGAAAGAAUGGAUGUGAUCUUGGUUUAAAAGCACCCAAUGCUAUGUUUUGUACACUUAUCUUAUCUUCAUUUCUCUACAAACCAUUCGUUCAUGUCUCAAAUAGCUUUUCUUUUAGUGCUUUGAACUUCUUGGAGUAAAUUAGCAAAUAAUGGUUUUGGUAGCA